rnacentral:rRNA from 1 species
CCAUCAAGGUAUAUGAAUAAGCGAAGCUAUCCCGAAGAGGCUAUCCGGCUGGAAAGAUGGCUUUUCCCCAGUGGAGAUAGCUUAGGGGAAUAAGGGAGUAAGGCAAGUCUGAGUGCCAGCASCCGCGGGUAAUCAAAUAA